AUCUUCUCUUCACUCUUCACAGUUCAAACCGUCGCCCAUCUUCUAUUCUUCUUUCCUUCUUUCUUCUUCUCUUCUGAAUCUCUGAUCCACGCCCAGUGCCACGCCGACGACGCCCACUCCCCAGUGCCCACGCCAGCUCUCGCCAGACAGAUCUUCAGCAACAAUGAAGGUGCGGUCAUCAGUUAAGAAGAUGUGUGAGUUCUGUAAGAUAGUGAAACGCCGUGGUCGUAUUUAUGUAAUAUGCACAGCUAAUCCUAAGCACAAGCAACGACAAGGCAUGUCAACAUUUGCAUAUGAAGGCCCUCCUCCUACAUCUUCGGACACCAGUACCAGACUGGAGAUGGUGACUGGUCACAAUUUACGGGCUGGUCUGGCUUCUCUCAUUCCCAAAAAGCAGGAGCCAGCGACAAUGUAUCGAUGGAGUGCAGGCCUUGCAUCCCUUCUUUUUUUGAGGAGUCUUGCAUCCCUUCUGUUCAAGAAGGUAAACUAGCUUUCCUCCUAUUCGGAAGGGUGAGAAUGAAAUGGUACAAGGGUGAAGUUAGAUAAAUUUUGUCGUCCAUUGACCUUUCUGGUGUAUUCUCUGUUUCAUUUUGAUGCUAUAUUCUUAUGCACUAGUGGGGAGGGAGUGAUAAAAAAGAAAAAGAAACAAGAGAAAGUAGUAACUUAUGCUCUGUUUGUUUCAGUGUAAAAUGAUUUUUGUCGUAAAAUAUUUUCUAGGAAGUUAUUUUUCAGGAAAGUAUUUUUCGCCGAAAACAUUUUUCGGCGUUUGGCGUGUACGGAAAAUCACAAUUUUUAUUUAUUUUUUUUUUCAUUCAAUCAUAUUAAUUUAUAAAAAUCAAUUUUUAUUCACAACAUAAAAAUAUUAAUGUAAAAUAAUAUUAAAAAAAACAACUAAAAGAUUAUGUUUAACUAAGAUAUACAUAUUGACUAACAAUAAUUUGUUUCAAAAAAAAAAAUGAGUAUUUUACAAAUUGGGAUUUAAAAAAAUUAUUUUUAAAGUGGUCAGAAUCUGGCCAUUUUGUGCCGGAUUCCGGCCAUGCCAGAAUGGUUGGGAUUCGGUCGGCUUCCGGCCAGUGUGGCCGGAAUCUGGCAUAGCAUCGCCGGAAUCUGGCACAGCAUCGCCGGAAUCCGAUGACGAUGGCCGGUCAUCGCCAGAGUCUGACCAGUGUCGGAAUAUAGCUUGUCGGAAUACGGUGAUGGCUGCCUGAUUCCAGCGAUGGUCGACUGCUUGAGGGUGAAGGUUAACUGCGUCAUUUAAAAGAGGGUCGACUGUAUUUGUCGUCUGGAAAAAAUGAUUUAUGCUUUUAAAAAGCAUAAAUCAUUUUUUAAAAAUUUACUGAACGUUUUUGGUUAAAUAGAAAUUAUUUUUCGGUUGACUAUUAUUUUCGCCUCACCAAACAUCGAAAAGUGCCGAAAUUAUUUUUCAAAAAUUAUUUUACACUAAAACAAACAGAACAUAAACAAGAUUUCCUGGGAGUAGAGAUGACAAAUGUUCUUCAAUUCUUGGGAGGUUCAUACUUUGAUAAAGUAAUGGAAUGAAAAAGCUUCUGUAUCAUUUCUGCACUUCGUGCUACUCACUGCAAGCUUGAUUUGGUACUCUAUUAGCUGUACUUUAUAUUUUAAAAAACUAUGUGGAUAGUUCAUUGUGCUCUCAUUAGUGAUUGAUAUUGAAAUGUAGACCAUCCAAAAA